UCGUCAUGAUGAUGAUGAUGAUGAUGAUGAUGAUGAUGAUGUUCGUCGUCGUCGUCGUCGUCGUCGUCAUCAUCCUCAUCAUCAUCAUCAUCA
rnacentral:pre_miRNA from 1 species